GUGGGGAAUAUUGGACAAUGGGCGAAAGCUUGAUCCAGCCAUGCCGCGUGUGUGAAGAAGGCCUUUUGGUUGUAAAGCACUUUAAGCGAGGAGGAGGCUACCGAGAUUAAUACUCUUGGAUAGUGGACGUUACUCGCAGAAUAAGCACCGGCUAACUCUGUGCCAGCAGCCGCGGUAAUACAGAGGGUGCGAGCGUUAAUCGGAUUUACUGGGCGUAAAGCGUGCGUAGGCGGCUUUUUAAGUCGGAUGUGAAAUCCCUGAGCUUAACUUAGGAAUUGCAUUCGAUACUGGGAAGCUAGAGUAUGGGAGAGGAUGGUAGAAUUCCAGGUGUAGCGGUGAAAUGCGUAGAGAUCUGGAGGAAUACCGAUGGCGAAGGCAGCCAUCUGGCCUAAUACUGACGCUGAGGUACGAAAGCAUGGGGAGCAAACAGGAUUAGAUACCCCUGUAGUCC
rnacentral:rRNA from 1 species